ensembl:lncRNA
GCAUAGUAUCCUAUAUGUGCUUUAAGGACUUAAUAUUUACUUUCAUUGAAAGUUUUUCAACCUGAAACUUCUUGUUUUCUUUCUAUGGCAUCUAGUGCAGUGGCAUCACGUUCCAUCAGUACAACUCCAGAUUCUACAGCAUAGAAAUGAACAACAACCACAACCACAAGAAAUAAUUAUUAUGUCUUCAGGAGUGGAGUACCCAGGGAGCCAUCCCAGGACAAUGGUUUAUUACUCAGUCUGACAGAAACAUACCUACUGCUGAAUUCCAGAACAAAACGAUCUGCAGGGCCCUGGCUGGCUGCUCAGACUGACAGAGACUCUUUGGCCAUGGCUGAUGACCUUAAUGACAAGCCAGUAUCUGAAGGAAAGAGAGACUUGGACAAAGAAUCUAUGAUAAAUGCACGUUCAGUUUUAUUGUCAUACUCCACAAUGCAUGCAGAUGUUCGAUACAGUGAGCGUUAUUUACGAAUAGUUUACAGAGUUACCCAGAGUUUUUCCAGAUAG